UUGCUGCUCUGGCCACUGUGCUGUGGGUGGUGGGGUUUGUGAGGGCCACGGGUGAGAGGGAGGAUGAGGAGAGAGGAGGCCAGAAUACACUGAUCAUUUCUCUUUCUCCCGCGUCCGCUGGGCUAGUGUGCUGAGCUGCAGAGAGAGAGAGACGACCUUAAACAGCAACUAGCCAUGCAGUGCCUCGCUGACAAGUUCCAGGCCCUUUGAAGUUGAACCCAGCCUCUUCCUACAAGACAGGCAGCUGGUGCCUUUGGAGCCCAGGAGCCGCGGCCGAGCUGGUUCCCACCGUUUCUCAUUCAGCCACGGCUUCCUCUCACCACCUGCUCCUGUCCUCUCCUGACCCCAGUUACAGCGAAUUAUCCAAUUAAAGUAG